rnacentral:lncRNA from 1 species
CACUACGUGUCUUUGCCAGAUUUUGCGUACCAUGCUUCUUGCGUGUUCUCCUCUGCUACCUUACCCCAAACUUCCAAUUUCUUUCCCCAAAUCGCGAAAUCCAGCGGCAGAUCCCCAAAUCAAGAACAUGAGUUCGCCUCUUUUAUCAAACCAAACCCUAAUUUCAUCAAAUCCUCAAUAAGUUACAAUAUCCUUUUUAUAUCAUCUUCGAUCACCAUUGGUGUAAAUCUAUACAUGUAGCUAUUAAUUAGCAUUUGACUUGUGUGCUAUGUCUUUUGUUUUUCAAUCACAUUAACAAAAUUGAAGUUUUAUGUAGCAAUUAUUGUUUAUUUUGCAUGAGCUGUUGCAAAUCUAUGUUUUUUAAAUAACUUGUAGGUUUAAUUAAAGAGAACAAAAAAGUUAUGGUUAUGACUUUUGAAUGAAAGUUGAACUCAUUGGGGCAUUUCAUCGAAUACGUGGUGUGCAAGAUUCGUGAACAAGUGGAAUUGAUAGGAGACUUAGCUGAUUGCUGGGUUUGUGAGUGUGGUUUUAAGAGAAAGAAUGCAUGAGACAACUUGGUCCUCCCAUGUCUAAAAGAUGACAAAAAACGGUUCAAAUAUCACUGACGACGGUGAUGGUAUGGGUUAGCGACAAUGAAGACGAUGGUGGUUCGGGCGAAUGGCAUGGUGUCUGUUGGUGUCGCAUCAGACCUGAUAUCCGGCGACAUUAGAUAAACUCCGGCGAAUGGCUAGAGCUCCUAUGGCUCAAUAUAGCGGUUUUGGUCUUCCGUAAUUAGGGUUUAAUAAUUCAAAUGUGACCAACCAAAAACUACAACCAGAAGCUUCUGUCUACUGUGGAUGUAUUAUUUCGCGAAAUUUAGGUUUCAGUUGAUCAAUACCUGGUGUUCCUAGGCUUGCUUCUUCACUGGUUGAUACAUGUGUUUCAUGAUCCUGAUAUAUUGGAUGUUUGAACAUGUUGGUGGUCCUUAUCUUGAUGCGUAGUUGGUUUUGUUGAGAAGAACACUUAGAUUAGUAAUAUAAAUCUUGGUUAUAUUUGAUUUAUAUUGUCUUUUGUAGUCUUAUGACUGAUCAACUAAAUUUUAUGUCUUUUAUGUUAAAUCGAUCACCCUUACAACGUGGUGGGAACUUCUUCUAUUGUUCUUAGUUUGUAAGCCCCUGCCCGCAACGCGGCGGGGGGUAAAACCUAGUUAUUAUUAUUAAACACUAUAAAGAAGCAACUUAAUUAUGC